rnacentral:lncRNA from 1 species
CGAAAAGCAGGUGGUUCAUGUUCUAAAAAGUCUCGAUCCAUCAUGUCGAAAAGAUAUACCCCUUGUACUAAGAAUUUAAAAUGUGUCGAUCCACGCUCUGCAUAUCCAUUCUUGAGCUUAGUUGUACGGGGAACAUGAUGACAUCACAAUUUGGCAAGUAUAAGAAAUUUUUUGCCAUAAUUUUUUAAGUCAUGAACAUAUGAAAGUUAGUGUCGGAUUUAUAAGUGCGGC